GGUCAUUGAAUGUUGAAACACCAGUUCUUGUCUGAUCACCAAAGUUAAGCAAUAUUGAGCCUGCUCCAUACCUAGAUGAGUGACCACUUGAGAAUAACAGGUGCUGGA